AUGUCUAUCAUGAGUAAGUGGCUAUUAGGAAGAAAACAAAGGCAGGCGUCUCUUAUUCUACAGCGGCAGAGGUUUGACGAUGGAGCAUCCUUACUGCUUAUGUGGAUGUAAAAGGAAACAAAAGGAAACGGUAAUCCUUCUCUGUCACUGACAUCUUCUCUAUCAGCUCGCUGUGAAAGCGCUGGAUUUCUUCGUUCCGCGCGAAUUUUCUACAGGAAUCAUUAAAAACCACAGGUCUUCAGAUUCAAGUAUCGAAAUGGAACAGCGGCGUCCACUUCUAGUUUAAAACGUUCACGCACUUAGAGGAACACUCUACCUGAGAAGCCACUCUGUUGUUAGAUCUCCCAGCAUGGCAUCUCACAUGAGGCUUGUGCUGCAUUUUCUAUUGCUGUUCAUAUUUGCUGUGCAGGAGGUCAGGCUGGUGUGUGUGGAAGUAGCAUCAGACACAGAGGCCAUCAUAGGCCGUGUUAUGAAGUUAACCUGCAGCUACUGCAUGAAACGAGAGGAGAUCCCUGCCGAGACCAAAGUGGACUGGUUCUUCACUGGAGAAGAUAAAAGAAAAGUGCUUAUUUAUCAGUAUGAUCGUGAGCCACAGGAGCCAAAGGAUGUAGAAAUGUACUGGAAGGGCCGUCUGACAUGGAACGGCAGCAAGGACCUGCAGGACGUCUCAAUUAGCAUCCUAAACGUUACCCUUAAAGACUCUGGCACAUACGAAUGUGAGGUGUCACGCUUCUUUGAGUUCGAUUCAUACAAGCAUUCCACCACCAAGAAAACCACAAUCAAUCUUAGGGUAAAAAUGAAAGCCUACUUAUUGGAAGGCAGGAAGUUGUUUUCAGGGCUUUAUCUAAGCAGCCACUUACCUCUCUAUCUGUUGUAAUGGGUAAUGUAAAGAUUCUGGUUUGUAUGCUAUUCUCUGGAUGCCUAAGAUGCCUGCUGAAUGCAGAGUACUUCCUCUCACUUCAAUCGAAUAUACUUUACCUAAUGUAUAUUUGUCUGUAUUUAAUCAUGCAACCGCAAUGCAUCAUCUCUAUCUGCGACUGUGUCUCAGUUCACAGAUAGACAUUGACCGUGUUGUAUUUAAGUGGUGGCUUUCGAAGAUAUUUUGAAUAUUGCAAGCAGCCUCCCAGAACCACAAACUUACAGUACAACUCUGGUUUUACAUUCCAUGCCAUUUUAGAUCUAUUCACUGCAGUGCAUGAGACAUAAAUACUAUUUAUAAUGUGAUCACAGGUCCUUUUUGACAACUGUUAGAGAUUUUGCAGAAUUGUACAAACGUUUUUUUUUCUUUCUAUUAAAUGUCACAUGCUCUGCACUCUUGUUGAUGUAUACAGUCUUUCAGUCAGUCAUAUGACCUUUGAGUCUCAUUGUCCUCCAAAGGAAAGUUAAAAUGAAGUAGUUUCAGAGCAUGUUUGUUUCAUUGUGUGGUUUUGUGUUUGCAUGCUAAUGAUUUGCCAUAAUUUGUUUUCUAAGGUUCAGACAGAAAAAAAAUAUUAAUCCAUUUCUACCCAAUGAACACCUAAAUGAAUUAACUUAAAGUGAUAGUUCACCCAAAAAUGUAGUCAUCAUCAACUUAUCCUCAUGUCUUUCCAGACAUGUCUUCCUUCUUAAGAAAACAAAAGAAGAUAUUUUGAUGUAUGUUGGUAACCAAACAGUUCUGGUUCCCAUUUACUUCCAUUGCAUGAAUACAGCUGAAGUAAAAAAGUAACUGAAAAUUGUUUGGUUACCAACAUUCUUAUUUUUUAUUUUUUUUUAAUGUUCCAAAAAAAGAAAGUCAUACAGAUUCGGAAAGACAAGAGGGUGAGUAAAUGAUGACUAAUAUUUCAUUCUAGGGCAAACUAUCCCUUUAAUGAAAAUCAGCUUAAAUAAAAAUGAUUCAUAUGAUAAAAAUGAUUCAUAUGAAUUCUUGCCAGCAUUUGAUUCAUUCUGAUUAUCACAGAACUUCCAUGCAUACCUUGUUUUUAUACAUAUAACAAUAAAAAAGAAAAAAAGAAUCCUCAGAAAAAGGGGUUACAUUUUUUUUUUUUACAGUAUAUGAAGCCACUCACUCACAAAUGUACCACCUGGAUGCAAAGCAUGACAUCUCUGAGGCGACUUAUAGUUGCACUUGGUUAUAGUUCCUGAUGACCUGAAAUAGCUUUAAUAACUCUCCUAGUGCAUUACAUCAGUGCAGCUAUAUUUUGACUUGUCCACUCAUGCAUUCUGCACUUUUGUCCUCAUUUUCACUUGAGUUACUUUCUGGAUGAAUUCAUCACAACAACAUCCUAAGUGGCACAGUAUAUCAGUCUUAACAGACUUCCAUUGAUUGCUUAAUUAGUUGUAUUAAAUUCCAUCUGAUCGGAUAUUUUCAUUUUCUCAGCGAGUGAAGACACCGCAGCGCUGUACUCAGAGAUCAUGAUGUAUGUGCUGCUGGUGUUCCUCACAUUCUGGUUGCUGAUGGAGAUGAUCUACUGCUACAGGAAGAUCUCCAAAUCUGAGGAGCAAAUGCAGGACACUGCGACAGACUACU